rnacentral:rRNA from 1 species
GCUUAACACAUGCAAGUCGAACGGAAAGGCCCUGCUUUUGUGGGGUGCUCGAGUGGCGAACGGGUGAGUAACACGUGAGUAACCUGCCCUUGACUUUGGGAUAACUUCAGGAAACUGGGGCUAAUACCGGAUAGGAGCUCCUGCUGCAUGGUGGGGGUUGGAAAGUUUCGGCGGUUGGGGAUGGACUCGCGGCUUAUCAGCUUGUUGGUGGGGUAGUGGCUUACCAAGGCUUUGACGGGUAGCCGGCCUGAGAGGGUGACCGGCCACAUUGGGACUGAGAUACGGCCCAGACUCCUACGGGAGGCAGCAGUGGGGAAUAUUGCACAAUGGGCGGAAGCCUGAUGCAGCAACGCCGCGUGCGGGAUGACGGCCUUCGGGUUGUAAACCGCUUUCGCCUGUGACGAAGCGUGAGUGACGGUAAUGGGUAAAGAAGCACCGGCUAACUACGUGCCAGCAGCCGCGGUGAUACGUAGGGUGCGAGCGUUGUCCGGAUUUAUUGGGCGUAAAGGGCUCGUAGGUGGUUGAUCGCGUCGGAAGUGUAAUCUUGGGGCUUAACCCUGAGCGUGCUUUCGAUACGGGUUGACUUGAGGAAGGUAGGGGAGAAUGGAAUUCCUGGUGGAGCGGUGGAAUGCGCAGAUAUCAGGAGGAACACCAGUGGCGAAGGCGGUUCUCUGGGCCUUUCCUGACGCUGAGGAGCGAAAGCGUGGGGAGCGAACAGGCUUAGAUACCCUGGUAGUCCACGCUGUAAACGGUGGGUACUAGGUGUGGGGUCCAUUCCACGGGUUCCGUGCCGUAGCUAACGCUUUAAGUACCCCGCCUGGGGAGUACGGCCGCAAGGCUAAAACUCAAAGGAAUUGACGGGGCCCCGCACAAGCGGCGGAGCAUGCGGAUUAAUUCGAUGCAACGCGUAGAACCUUACCUGGGUUUGACAUGGAUCGGGAGUGCUCAGAGAUGGGUGUGCCUCUUUUGGGGUCGGUUCACAGGUGGUGCAUGGCUGUCGUCAGCUCGUGUCGUGAGAUGUUGGGUUAAGUCCCGCAACGAGCGCAACCCUUGUUCACUGUUGCCAGCACGUUAUGGUGGGGACUCAGUGGAGACCGCCGGGGUCAACUCGGAGGAAGGUGGGGAUGACGUCAAGUCAUCAUGCCCCUUAUGUCCAGGGCUUCACGCAUGCUACAAUGGCUGGUACAGAGAGUGGCGAGCCUGUGAGGGUGAGCGAAUCUCGGAAAGCCGGUCUCAGUUCGGAUUGGGGUCUGCAACUCGACCUCAUGAAGUCGGAGUCGCUAGUAAUCGCAGAUCAGCAACGCUGCGGUGAAUACGUUCCCGGGGCUUGUACACACCGCCCGUCAAGUCAUGAAAGUUGGUAACACCCGAAGCCGGUGGCCUAACCGUUGUGGGGGAGCCGUCGAAGGUGGGACUGGUGAUUAGGACUAAGUCAUAACA